UACGGAGGAGGCAAGCGUUAUCCGGAAUGAUUGGGCGUAAAGAGUCCGUAGGUGGUAAGGUGUGUCUAUUGUUAAAUCUCGGGGCUUAACUCCGAAACAGCAAAAGAAACUGCCAAACUAGAGCUAGGUAGGGGUAGAGGGAAUUCCCGGUGUAGCGGUGAAAUGCGUAGAUAUCGGGAAGAACACCAGUGGCGAAGGCGCUCUACUGGACUGUAGCUGACACUGAGGGACGAAAGCUGGGGGAGCGAAAGGG
rnacentral:rRNA from 1 species